rnacentral:rRNA from 1 species
GCCGCGUGUGUGNAGNAGGCCUUCGGGUUGUAAAGCACUUUCAGUCAGGAGGAAAGGUUAGUAGUUAAUACCUGCUAGCUGUGACGUUACUGACAGAAGAAGCACCGGCUAACUCCGUGCCAGCAGCCGCGGUAAUACGGAGGGUGCGAGCGUUAAUCGGAAUUACUGGGCGUAAAGCGUACGCAGGCGGUUUGUUAAGCGAGAUGUGAAAGCCCCGGGCUCAACCUGGGAACUGCAUUUCGAACUGGCAAACUAGAGUGUGAUAGAGGGUGGUAGAAUUUCAGGUGUAGCGGUGAAAUGCGUAGAGAUCUGAAGGAAUACCGAUGGCGAAGGCAGCCACCUGGGUCAACACUGACGCUCAUGUACGAAAGCGUGGGGAGCAAACGGGAUUAGAUACCCCGGUAGUCCACGCCGUAAACGAUGUCUACUAGAAGCUCGGGUCCUCGGACUUGUUUUUCAAAGCUAACGCAUUAAGUAGACCGCCUGGGGAGUACGGCCGCAAGGUUAAAACUCAAAUGAAUUGACGGGGGCCCGCACAAGCGGUGGAGCAUGUGGUUUAAUUCGAUGCAACGCGAAGAACCUUACCUACACUUGACAUACAGAGAACUUACCAGAGAUGGUUUGGUGCCUUCGGGAACUCUGAUACAGGUGCUGCAUGGCUGUCGUCAGCUCGUGUUGUGAGAUGUUGGGUUAAGUCCCGCAACGAGCGCAACCCCUAUCCUUAGUNGCUAGCA